rnacentral:lncRNA from 1 species
UGAAUGAUGAUGAUAAUGAUUCUCCGUUUGUAUUGCUUGUGAAUGAUGAUGUUUCUGCACUUGAUAAUUCCAUUGCAUCUUCUGAAAAUGUUGCAUCAAAUGAUUCAUCUGAGCCUCAAAGCACUUCAUCUGAAAUCCCUAGCGUAACUCCCGAGACUACAUCCCUAACAGAAACAAGAGAUCAUCCUUUAUCGAACUUAAUUGGGGAUCCUAAUGUUGGUGUGCGAACAAGAAGUCAGCU